AUGCUGACUGGCCCAUUGAAAACCAUAAAUACAGGGGCGGUGCCCCCAGGGAGCGACCUGAGGGCCAGACUGCGGGCGGAAAAGGGCAGCGCCCCCGCCCAGGGGGGCGCGGACGGCUUUGGAUGGCGGAAGAUUGGGAGCGAAGGAAAGAGCGUUUUCCUUGCCAGUGAAUCGUGUAGAGUACACUUGUCAGUCUCUUGUCUUCUCUUCACCACGGCUGCUUCUGAUAUCCAGGUGAAGGAACUGGAGAACCGUGCCUCAGGUCAGGCUUUUGAGCUGAUUCUCAGUCCUCAAUCAAAAGAAUCUGUCCCAGAACUUCCCCUUUCCCCUCCUAAGAAGAAGGAUUUUUCCCUGGAGGAAAUUCAGAAGAAAUUAGAAGCUGCAGAAGAAAGACGCAAGUCCCAUGAAGCUGAGGUCUUGAAGCAGCUUGCUGAGAAACGGGAGCACGAGAAAGAAGUGCUUCAGAAAGCGAUAGAGGAGAACAACAACUUCAGUAAAAUGGCGGAAGAGAAGCUGACCCACAAGAUGGAAGCCAACAAAGAGAACCGGGAGGCACAAAUGGCUGCCAAACUGGAGCGUUUGCGAGAGAAGGACAAGCACAUUGAAGAAGUGCGGAAGAACAAAGAAUCCAAAGACCCUGCUGAUGAGACUGAAGCUGACUAAUUUGAUCUGAGAACUGACUUUCUCCCCCUCCCCUUCCUAAAUAUCCAAAGACUGUACUGGCCAGUGUCAUUUUACUUUUGCCCUCCUGACAAAUAUUCUAGAAGCUGAUGUAGGACUGUAUAGGUAGAUCCAGACGGUAUGAUGUUGUUCUAGGGGCUAAAGGGGAGAAACGAAAAGUGUUUUACUCUUUUUCUAAAGUGUUGAAGUCUUUCUAAUGUAGCUAUUUUUCUUGUUGCAUCUUUUCUACCUCAGUACACCUGGUGUGCUGGGUUAAUGGCUAGUACUGUAUUGGCUCCGUGAAAACAUGUCUGUGAAAAGAGUAUGUAGUGGCUUCUUUCAAAUUGUUAGAUGCUGAUUAUCUGUUCACUUUUAAAUCCCAAUUCUGUCCCGAUCUUACAGACGCUACUGUACUUGAAUGGUUAAUAAAGCUGCACAGUGCUGUUGG